CCCUCUGGCAAGGAAGAUUAGCCUGCACUUCUUCUGUUCCAUUCACUCUUUCCAUCUCUUGUGAUUGCGUGGUGUAGAAACCAAGUGGGUCGAUGGAAGUACUUCUCGGGCUCUUGCGAUCCUGUCCUUCGGACUUCUUGCUGUCUGAGUCCGAAACUGCACCUACAAUGAAUUGAUCUGCAAGCAUUUUACAAGCUCUCUCAAGCAUGGCCAAAUAUCUUCGCUCGGCAUCCUGACGAAUUUGUAGGUGCUUCUCUGCCUGCCCAACGAUGGUAAGGUAAGCUAGCUGAAGAAUGGACCCCAAGUCUCAGUAUUAACACUUGGAACUUGGAAGUUCCUAUCCUAUCAGCAGGUACAGAAAUCUCCAUCGCCAGUUUUUUUAUCAGUAAUUCUAAACAUACUCGAUCAUGAGGACAAUCAACUAAGCAAGCAAUCUAAAAACCACAAACUUAUAUGCCUUUUCACCAUUAAAAUUAUGUUUAGGACCCACUCCAGUAUUCACUAACAAGUUUGGUUCUUCGUGGAGUCUUGUCCAGAACAAUCAUCAAUUUCCAUUUUGAUGUUAAGGAUGAAAAUUUUAC
rnacentral:lncRNA from 1 species